ACUCAAAUGAAUAGACGGGGGCCCGCACAAGCGGUGGAGCAUGUGGUUCAAUUCGAAGCAACGCGCAGAACCUUACCAGCCCUUGACAUGUCCCGUAUGGGCACCGGAGACGGUGUUCUUCAGUUCGGCUGGCGGGAACACAGGUGCUGCAUGGCUGUCGUCAGCUCGUGUCGUGAGAUGUUGGGUUAAGUCCCGCAACGAGCGCAACCCUCAUCUUUAGUUGCCAUCGGGUUAUGCCGGGCACUCUAAAGAAACCGCCGGUGACAAGCCGGAGGAAGGCGGGGAUGACGUCAAGUCCUCAUGGCCCUUAUGGGCUGGGCUACACACGUGCUACAAUGGCGGUGACAGUGGGAUGCGAUGGGGCGACCCGGAGCCAAUCUCAAAAAGCCGUCUCAGUUCAGAUUGCACUCUGCAACUCGAGUGCAUGAAGGUGGAAUCGCUAGUAAUCGUGGAUCAGCACGCCACGGUGAAUACGUUCCCGGGCCUUGUACACACCGCCCGU
rnacentral:rRNA from 1 species